ensembl:lncRNA
ACAGGAUGAUUUUAAAAUCCAUGUUUUAAGUAAAAUUCAUUUGUUGGGCCAUAUUAGGGUCAAACCCAGCUAUAUGUAUGACACCCCUGAUUAGCACAUUUUGACGGUAGCUAAAUUUAUGGCCCUGAGUUUACAAGGUACACUCUUGUACAAGGUACACUCUUCUCUUGGUACAUGACACCGUCUGCACCCUUAAGGUGAGACCCUAAGCCCAAAACAUAGUGUAUAUACCUAAUCAGAUUACAUAUUGUACAUGUUUUAGAUAUUGCACAGACAUUAUUUUGUAUACAUUUAUGGCAUUGCCAUAUUUGUAUCAGGCUAUGGGUUGAAAUGAAACACUGAGAGACUUUCUUUCCAUGCAGAACAGGAGUGUAUGUCCUAUAGGUCUUUCUAUAGGUGCCCAGGGCUUUUUUUUUUUUUUCUUUUUUUUUGUCUGGCUUUCAUGAGUGUUUUAUUUGUUCACACUUGCAUCUACUGUAUUUAGGUAGUAGUAUUACACACUGUAACAUUUGGUCUCUCACAAUCAGGUGCAGAAAUAGUGUUCAGUUGAGACAAUGGCAGGUUCACUAUCAUCCAUGUAAACUCUGGUGUAAGAAUGAGGUUGGCAUAAAAAAAUAUGAAAAGAAAGGAAAUUUGUUCCUACACCACUCUUGUGGUUUUAGUUCAGUGCCACCUCAGUGAUGCUUGCCUGCAUCUCAGUAGUGUGUGAAACUCCCUGUGGGAGGCGUCCUGUUUACACGAACUUGCUGCCUGUAAAUAUGUCUGUUUAUGUGGUCAGACCCAGCUAUUUUCCUUGUUUCUCUUCCCCCCUGCCUGUUGGGGUCAGCUACAUGGUGCCUUGGCUGCAUGAGGGUUCCUCCACAAAUUUGGCUAUUCUUCUAACAUAGCGAAUGCUGUUUUUUUGGAAGUAAACACAGUGGAGGACUGCGUACAGAUAGGCCAAGAGAUGGGGAAAAAAACAAUGUUUAUGUACAGAAACACUGAAAAAUUUUGUAUAGAUUUUCCACUGAUUUAAUUUGCACUAAAUACAGAAAUGGCGAUCAAAAGAAAGUGGACGCCUUUUUUUCCUUUCCUAAAGGUUACCAACAAACGGAUCAUGUUCUGAUUCUUAUAUGAAUGCAAGACACUGAUGGUCUUUUUAUAAAAACGUCAGUCCUGGGAAACAUUUAUUCUCAGUAGCAAAUAAGUGUGAGAGACCUUGCAAGAGAUGUGUGUGUAUAUAUUGUCCAUAUGUGAGGCAUCUACUGCACAUAAGACUCAUUACAUUCAUUCAAGACAGCAAGAAAUCUCUUUAUACUUUCUGUCAUUCUCCUUGAUGCGUUACUAUACAUUGAGUCACAUGAAGGGAGGUUGUAGGCCAGCUAUAUUUUUCAGUUAAUCGAUUAUAUUCUAUAUACUUAUUUUUGCUGAAAGCUAUGAAAGCCAUAUUUUCCCUAGAUGGGACUUGGCAUCACCUUGUAAUAAGCCAGAGUGUGUCAAAAUGCUCACACUACAUGUACAAUAUUGUAGAGAAAUACAUUAUGAAAUAAUCAUAAACAUACAUUUCUGGGUAAAUUAUGUGGCUGUUUUAAUACAUCUUGAUGGUAUUUCAGUACUUAAAUUGUAAGCAUUUCUUCCAAGUUUGAUACACAGGGGUUUGGAGCUCACGGGCUCUCUGCUAUCUAAAGAAAGAUCCUUUGUGAAAGAUGUUAUGUUUUGUAACAACUGCUUAAUCAUACAAUGUAAUUUUCACUGAAUGCUGCUUCAUCUCCAUUGAAAGCAAUGUCCUAGUCUAGUAUUGAACCUUGAUAGUCUAGCUCAGGGCAUCAUUACUGAGAAAAAAAACAAACAAGUUCUUACUGAUAUUAGUAUUCCACUUAAAGUACAGUGAAAAUCCCAAUGUGCACGCUUGGCUCUUGAACAAUACACAGUAUAUACAGCAAAGUGUACAUUUUGAUCCAUGUGAAACAUGUAUGGACAUGUAACCUGGAUGUGUUUCCACCUUUAUGUCAAGCAUGAUAACUGUGAGCUUUUAUGUGCGAAUGCUGCAGCAGUCCUUCUUUGCAAAGGAUCGUUUUACCUCUGAAUAUUGCUGUGCCUUUGUUUUAAGCUAGCCUUGCCAACGAAUUGUAGAGCAUUUUGAAUUUUCCUUUUUUUUUUUUUUUUUUUUUCCUUUUCUGUUGAGAUGAGACUUCCUGUUGCUUUCUAUAUUUAUGCUGUAUUCUCCAUAUAUUCAUUGUCCAGUUUGGUAUUUAGUUUUAUGACUUUUUAUUUUUUCUUUUAAUUUAACAGUCAUACACAAGCUGUGAAAAAAAAAAAAAAAAAACAUUCUGCACUUUAAAAUUCUGGCCAUGAAAAUUGAGAAUCCAAGGAGUCGAUUAUAUUUGAUUGCAGCUGGAAUAAAACUGCCGCUCCUUAACAAUUAA